UUUGGUUGAUCCUGCCGGACCCGACUGCUAUCGGAUUGAGACUAAGCCAUGCGAGUCAACUAGCAAUGGUGGCGCACGGCUCAGUAACACGUAGUCAACCUGCCCUAGGGACGUGGAUAACCACGGGAAACUGUGGCUAAACCGCGAUAGGUCAUCGCUACUGGAAUGGGCAAUGGCUCAAACCUACAUGGCCCUAGGAUGGGACUGCGGCCGAUCAGGUUGUUGGUGGGGUAAUGGCCCACCAAGCCUGUAACCGGUACGGGCUCUGAGAGGAGGAGCCCGGAGAUGGGCACUGAGACAAGGGCCCAGGUCCUAUGGGACGCAGCAGGCGCGAAACCUUCGCAAUAGGCGAAAGCCUGACGAGGUUAAUCCGAGUGUUUCCUGCUAAAGGAAUCUUUUGCCAGCUCUAGAAAGGCUGGUGAAUAAGGGGUGGGCAAGCCUGGUGUCAGCCGCCGCGGUAAUACCAGCACCCCGAGUGGUCGGGAUGAUUAUUGGGCCUAAAGCAUCCGUAGCCGGUCCUGCAAGUCUUCCGUUAAAUCCACCUGCUCAACAGUUGGGCUGCGGGAGAUACUGUAUGACUAGGAGGCGGGAGAGGCGAGGGGUAUUCCUUGGGUAGGGGUAAAAUCCUCUGAUCCAUGGAGGACCACCAGUGGCGAAGGCGUCUCGCCAGAACGCGCUCGACGGUGAGGGAUGCAAGCUGGGGGAGCAAACCGGAUUAGAUACCCGGGUAGUCCCAGCUGUAAACGAUGCAGGCUCGGUGAUGGGUUGGGUUCGACCCAACCCAGUGCCGCAGGAAAGCCGUUAAGCCUGCCGCCUGGGGAGUACGGUCGCAAGACUGAAACUUAAAGGAAUUGGCGGGGGAGCACCACAAGGGUGGAGCCUGCGGUUCAAUUGGAUUCAACGCCGGAAAUCGGAUCCCGGGGCCCGU
rnacentral:rRNA from 1 species